UCGCGGCGGGAACGCGGGGCCUCCGUGUUCUGCUGUCUUCAUCAGCGUGGGCCGCGGGCCAUCAUGAGGAAGCCACGAGCAGCCGUGGGAAGUGGUCACAGGAAGCAGGCAGCCAGCCAGGAAGGGAGGCAGAAGCAUGCUAAGAACAACAGUCAGGCCAAGCCUUCUGCCUGUGAUGGCCUGGCCAGGCAGCCGGAAGAGGUGGUAUUGCAGGCCUCUGUCUCCUCAUACCAUCUAUUCAGAGACAUAGCUGAAGUCACAGCCUUCCGAGGGAGCCUGCUAAGCUGGUACGACCAAGAGAAACGGGACCUACCAUGGAGAAGACGGGCAGAAGAUGAGAUGGACCUGGACAGGCGGGCAUAUGCUGUGUGGGUCUCAGAGGUCAUGCUGCAGCAGACCCAGGUUGCCACUGUGAUCAACUACUAUACCGGAUGGAUGCAGGUGACUCCAGGGGAGGAAGGGAAGGGUCAUGGGUCAGACCCCAGAUGAGAGCCUCUACUUUGGGGUGGGUGUAGAGAAGGCUUCCUCUACCACCUUCACCCUUGACCUUGUCUCUUUCUGCCUGCCUGUGGCUAUAGAAGUGGCCUACACUGCAGGACCUGGCCAGUGCUUCCCUGGAGGUGAGAGCCACCCUAGGGUAGGGGAAAUAGGAACGAUAGAGGGACUGAUGGGUGAUCUCUUUGACCUCUGAUCCUACCCACAGGAGGUGAAUCAACUCUGGGCUGGCCUGGGCUACUAUUCUCGUGGCCGGCGGCUGCAGGAGGGAGCUCGGAAGGUAAGGGGAUGGCAGGAGGGUAGGAACCCAGGAGUCUUGGGUGUCUUAUAAUCUUGAGUCUUGCACUUCAAUCAGGUGGUAGAGGAGCUAGGGGGCCACAUGCCACGUACAGCAGAGACCCUGCAGCAGCUCCUGCCUGGCGUGGGCCGCUACACAGCUGGGGCCAUUGCCUCUAUCGCCUUUGGCCAGGUGAUCU
rnacentral:sRNA from 1 species